rnacentral:rRNA from 1 species
GGCGGCGUGCCUAAUACAUGCAAGUCGAGCGAAUGGAUUAAGAGCUUGCUCUUAUGAAGUUAGCGGCGGACGGGUGAGUAACACGUGGGUAACCUGCCCAUAAGACUGGGAUAACUCCGGGAAACCGGGGCUAAUACCGGAUAACAUUUUGAACCGCAUGGUUCGAAAUUGAAAGGCGGCUUCGGCUGUCACUUAUGGAUGGACCCGCGUCGCAUUAGCUAGUUGGUGAGGUAACGGCUCACCAAGGCAACGAUGCGUAGCCGACCUGAGAGGGUGAUCGGCCACACUGGGACUGAGACACGGCCCAGACUCCUACGGGAGGCAGCAGUAGGGAAUCUUCCGCAAUGGACGAAAGUCUGACGGAGCAACGCCGCGUGAGUGAUGAAGGCUUUCGGGUCGUAAAACUCUGUUGUUAGGGAAGAACAAGUGCUAGUUGAAUAAGCUGGCACCUUGACGGUACCUAACCAGAAAGCCACGGCUAACUACGUGCCAGCAGC